ACAGGACAGCCAAACGCCUCUCCUACUGUCCACCUUUUCCCUCCAUCCUCCGAAGAGCUCAGCACCAAGAGCAAGGCCACGCUGGUGUGUCUGAUGGACAGCUUUUAUCCCGGCUCGGUCCAGGUCACCUGGAAAGCUGAUAGCACCACCAUCUCCAGUGGAGUGGAGACCACCAAGGCGUCCAAACAGAGCAACAACCAGUACAUGGCCAGCAGCUACCUGACGCUGAGCGCCUCCGACUGGGAGAGCCACAAGAUCUACACCUGUCAGGUGACGCACGAUGGGAAGAGCAUCAACAAGACCCUGAACAGAUCAGAGUGCUCUUAAUCUCAACCACAGCAA